rnacentral:lncRNA from 1 species
GAGCAAUCACUCGGAUGAUCGAUUGAACACUCCUUCACCAAACAAGGCUGGAGACCUGGGAUGGACGCCGGUGGUUUGAGAUAUGCAGAAGAAAUGGGUCCUGCCCUCCGGAACACUCCAGAGAAUAUCAUGGCACUUUAUAACAUCAAUGUCAAUCAGCAUUGAUUGACAAGCCCCCUGGACUUUGGAUGACUUCUCUGAAGCCCCAGCUGUGCCUGGCUGGGCCAUCUCCCUUCUCCACUUGGCCACAGCAUAAACUGCAGUCAAGCCACAAGAGUGACCUCAAGGCCUCAGGCCACUUUUCCAGCCUCAGCUUUUCUUAGGGGCCCAGCCCACUUACAACAGAAAUUUGCCAAAGACUGGGUUGGUAAGUAAUGGAUAAGUUUUCAUAUUUACUAUUUUCAUUUCUGAAUCUCUCUUUACAUGCAGUUAAGCCAGGAAAUCCUGAAAGAACACUCUUCAGAAUGUUUUUAAGUAAAACAACAAGUUUCUGUUAAUUUAGGGCCAACCCAUGAGUAAAGAGAUAGAGCCUG